AGUUCUAUAGUUCAGUUGGUUAGAGCGUUGGUCUUAUGAGCCGAAGGUUGCAGGUUCGAUUCCCGCUAGAACCA